AUUCCUGAUUGGCCAAAGGAGGGUAAGAGACCGCCCCUUCCUCCUUUCUCCUCUUGCGCAGGGCAAGCUAGUUUGGGCAUUUAAGGUAUGUUUGUCCCUGCCUGUGGGAGCGGGUGCUACGGGUGGAUGGCCCUUCCCCCCAUUUAUUCUAGGAGUGAGAACUGCCAUCGGUAACUAAGGUACUGCUUUGCCUUCCGCAGCCUACACUUCGUCUGCUUCUCUUCAGCAGGUGGAGCAGAAUUUGAAUGUUUUGCAUCUAGUCCCACUCCUUUCCUAAUGCUUGCAGCUUUUGUACAGCUCUGCCGGAUAUCCAUCGCACCUCAUUCAGCCUGUGCUAGAACACCGACAGGAACAGGGAGCUCACUACCAACAGGUAAACUGAUCGUUUGAAGGCAGCGCUCUUAUUUCCUAGAGGUUUUCAUUUUUCCUUAGAAGUAUUACCUUGGUGCUAUUUUCUCCAUUUUCCUAGGGACCUUGGCGGGUGGCUCCGGAAAGGCAGGCAGCAGCCUGUUGUUACCAGUUGGAGGCAUUGUUCAGGAGGAGAUGAAGCUCCUUACCACCCCUCAGCGGUGUCCUAAUGGGCUCUUGCUGCUUUCGCAACAAACCUGAUGUCUUUGCUCCUAAGACCCUGAACUGCCCCAUCCUCUACCCUCAGCAGAUCAUGUCACCUGCUGCUCUCUCGACAGGGUUGGGGUUUCCAGCAAAAGCUCUUGCAUUUCCGCCUAGUGUCUUCACACCGCUCUCUGGGUAGCCUGUCCCUUCUCUUCCCUGCCCUCCCUCCUUCUCCUCCCUCCUCCCUCUCCCCUUUGUCCAUUACACCUUCACUGCUGCCCAGCUCCUCCUAUCUUUCCCCUCUGGGAAAAAAAAAACUUUAAAUAUUGCCCUUGCCCUUAAAAAUUCCUUCCUUCAGGGAAAAAGGGAAGAGGGAGGGAGAAAUGAAGGAAGGGACAAGAAAAAAAAGUGAAAACAGAAGAGAAAAUGGAAACAAAGUGUUUAGACAUAGGGAGAGGAGAGGGCUUAAGGGAAGGGGAGAAUGGGGGAAAAAAGGUGGGAUGUACCAUGGAAUGUACCAGGUACAAAUACGAGUUCCCUGUCACUGUCUAAAUUGUACCAAUAAGUGUUUUUGCUGUGUAAAAAAAAAUUCCUUCCUUCACACGCUAAUUAACAAAACAAUGAUAUCACUCACACUCAUCAAGCUGGCAAAAGUCAACGCGCACAGUGACACUGAGGGCCAGGCCCACAGGGAUCUGGCAGCGCUGUGCUCUUGCUUUGAGACAGCGCCCAGGAAACCCGGAGACGCAGCGGGCUUCACUUCUCGGCGGGGCCAUGGAGCGACUCUCUCAUGGGGACCGUGGAGACCAGAGUGGACAGCUAAUUAGAAGCAAUGAUGGAGAUUUCUCGAAGUGACUCCAACUUUGAGGGGAACUGACUACAGGGAGAACUGACAGAUGACAGUGAGAGGAAAGAGGAAAGGAACACUAAGUGGCAAAGCAAAGGCAUAAAUGGCCACAUUCUGCAUGGUAUAAUUGGUUCUGAAGGAAUCAUGACAUCACAGGUCAGUAUAAUAAUUGAUGUUGAUAAUGACUGAGCCAUGAUGGGGGAGUUACUGGGAGCUGAUCACUCAGCUCAUUUACAAAAUGUUUAUUAGAAACUCAGUAUGCACCUGUCUCUGUCUAGAUCCUGGGAAUAGAAGGAUGGAUAAAGGAUGGCCCUUGCCCUCAGAAGACUCUCUGGUCUUCAGUUUCUCCAGUGGAAAGAUGAGAGCCCCAAAGUGUCUGAUUGCUAGCGCUCUUUCCUAGAAGUCCUGAGUGCUUUAUGCAUUAGGGCUUGAAUCUCAAUGAUCCUGAAAGAUGGUGAUCCAGGUCAUAGAAUCCUGCUUUGCAAGCGAGCAAACUGAGGUGCAGGGGGGUUGGCAUCUGGCUCAAGGUCACACAGUUAGUGAGUGGCAGAACCAGGACACUCAGGCACAUGGACCAAUCGCAUAGAAGUAGACAGGUCAUCUUCCUCCUGUUCCAGUGCUUCCCCGACUCUACAUCUCUCCUCCAAAAAGGCAGUAAGAAUAGAUGGAGAGCAGCUCGUGAAUUGGACAACUGCGUGGACUUAGAGGUCUGGAACACAAAAUUCAGCAGCUACAGAACAAAAAUCAUGUGCAACUAGACAAUAAUAAAUAUCUAUAAGACAAAGUGCCACCUAAAGGGCGUUGGCGGAUCUGUCAAAAUCAACAGCAAGACCUGGGAUUUAGCUAGGUGGCACCGCACCUGCCUGCGAAGUGCAAGGUCCUGAGUUCGCCCCUGCGGGCAGAGUCCAUCCGAGCACGGAGCAUGGAGAUGCGGAGCCCAGCAGCACACCUGGCUCUCUUCCCCGGUGGCCAGCAUAGGAUGCCUGCCAGCUCUGCUGUUGCUGAGAGCGCAGAGAUCUGUGAUGGGAAACAGGUCCAUGUCUUCCUACAGAACUGUGUACAAAUGGAGAAGGAAGGCAGCUAGAGGGCUCCUGGUUCAAAGCUGCUGGUUUAUAAUGCCAAGUAGAGAUGGUCACCAGUGUAUUGUGCAAUAUCAUGAAAGCAAAAGACAUGAACCUGGGAAUAAACAUUUGUUGAGCACCUGCUGUUCUGGCUGCUCUGGGAGAUAGAUAAUAAGCACUAGCUCAUCCAUUCCUUGCAGUAAAUCUCUGAGGCAGAUGAUGUUGGAAGCUCACAGAAGUGAUUUGUAUAGGAGCCCACGGCUAGUGAGGAUUUGAACUCUGAGCACAUUCAUAUCUCUGGCUCUUCACACACCCUCCAGGACAGGGUCUGUCCUCUGUACUUCUUAGCCUUGUGGCUCCCACAAAGUAUCUUAGUCUCUAAAAUGCUCAGGUUCCUGAGAUUUAACUAUCUCAUAGGAUUAUUGUAAAGAUCAAAGGAGAGAAAGUACUUGAAAGUGUUUUGCUACCUAAUAAGAUUUAUGCAGUAAUAUUUUUUAAAAAGUGAUAUUUAGCAGGGGUAAGGGGAAAAAAAUGAGAACCAAGACCUGUCAUGUAAAGGUACAAGAGUCCAAUGAUGAAUGUGACUGUACUGUAUACCUAAAAUGUGCUAAAAAACUCAAUGAGAAAAAAAUAAAAUAAAAAGUGAUAUUUAUAGAAC
rnacentral:lncRNA from 1 species